rnacentral:rRNA from 1 species
AAACAUGGCUCUUUGAGAUUUAUAUAUAAAGAGUCGGGCCUGCCCAGUGAUGUAUUUUUAACGGCCGCGGUACUCUGACCGUGCGAAGGUAGCAUAAUCAUUUGCCCUAUAAUUGAGGGCUAGUAUGAAUGGUUUGACAUGAGCAUAACUGUCUCCUUAAAAUUUUAUAAAAUUUGGUUUUUAGGUGAAGAAACCUAAAUUAAAUUGAAAGACAAGAAGACCCUAUCGAGCUUUAGAAUAAUUAGUUAAAAAAUAUAAAUAAAACAAUUAAUUUUAAUUAAAAACUUUGGUUGGGGCGACUGAGGAACAUAUAAAGCUUCCUUAAUUAAACAAUGCUGAUAAGCAAUGAUCCAGGAAAUCUGAUUAAAAAAAUUAGUUACCGUAGGGAUAACAGCAUAAUCUUUUUUGAGAGCUCUUAUUGAAAAAAAGGUUUGUGACCUCGAUGUUGGACUAGGAUAUCCUAAAGAUGUAGAAGUCUUUAAUGGUUGCUCUGUUCGAGCAUAAAAAUCCUACGUGAUC